rnacentral:rRNA from 1 species
GACAGAGGUCCCGAGCGUUAGGCGGAAUCACUGGGCUUAAAGCGUGUGUAGGCGGAUCGUUAAGUACCUUGUGAAAUCCCACGGCUCAACCGUGGAACUGCUGGGUAUACUGGCGAUCUUGAGCCACCUAGGGGCGAGCGGAACAAGCGGUGGAGCGGUGAAAUGCGUAGAUAUCGGGAGGAACAUCAGUGGCGAAGGCGGCUGCCUGGCCCAAUACUGACACUCAGGUGCGACAGCGUGGGGAGCAAACAGG